rnacentral:tRNA from 1 species
GAGGGUAUAGCGGUAGAGCACAUGCUUAGCACGCACGAGGUCCUGGGUUCAAUCCCCAGUACCUCCU